rnacentral:rRNA from 1 species
GACGAACGCUGGCGGCGUGCCUAAUACAUGCAAGUCGAGCGGACAGAAGGGAGCUUGCUCCCGGAUGUUAGCGGCGGACGGGUGAGUAACACGUGGGUAACCUGCCUGUAAGACUGGGAUAACUCCGGGAAACCGGAGCUAAUACCGGAUAGUUCCUUGAACCGCAUGGUUCAAGGAUGAAAGACGGUUUCGGCUGUCACUUACAGAUGGACCCGCGGCGCAUUAGCUAGUUGGUGGGGUAAUGGCUCACCAAGGCGACGAUGCGUAGCCGACCGGGGAGGGUGAUCGGCCACACUGGGACUGGGACACGGCCCAGACUCCUACGGGAGGCAGCAGUAGGGAAUCUUCCGCAAUGGACGAAAGUCUGACGGAGCAACGCCGCGUGAGUGAUGAAGGUUUUCGGAUCCUAAAGCUCUGUUGUUAGGGAAGAACAAGUGCGAGAGUAACUGCUCGCACCUUGACGGUACCUAACCAGAAAGCCACGGCUAACUACGUGCCAGCCGCCGCCGUAA